rnacentral:rRNA from 1 species
UGGGGAAUAUUGGACAAUGGGCGCAAGCCUGAUCCAGCCAUGCCGCGUGAGUGAUGAAGGCCCUAGGGUUUAAAGCUCUUUCACCGGUGAAGAUAAUGACGGUAACCGGAGAAGAAGCCCCGGCUAACUUCGUGCCAGCAGCCGCGGUAAUACGAAGGGGGCUAGCGUUGUUCGGAUUUACUGGGCGUAAAGCGCACGUAGGCGGACUAUUAAGUCAGGGGUGAAAUCCCGGGGCUCAACCCCGGAACUGCCUUUGAUACUGGUAGUCUUGAGUUCGAGAGAGGUGAGUGGAAUUCCGAGUGUAGAGGUGAAAUUCGUAGAUAUUCGGAGGAACACCAGUGGCGAAGGCGGCUCACUGGCUCGAUACUGACGCUGAGGUGCGAAAGCGUGGGGAGCAAACAGG